rnacentral:rRNA from 1 species
GACGAACGCUGGCGGCGUGCUUAACACAUGCAAGUCGAACGGUAAGGCCCUUCGGGGUACACGAGUGGCGAACGGGUGAGUAACACGUGGGUGAUCUGCCCUGCACUUCGGGAUAAGCCUGGGAAACUGGGUCUAAUACCGGAUAGGACUCCUGGCUUCAUGGUUGGGGGUGGAAAGCUUUUGCGGUGUGGGAUGGGCCCGCGGCCUAUCAGCUUGUUGGUGGGGUAAUGGCCUACCACGGCGACGACGGAUAGCCGGCCUGAGAGGGUGACCGGUCACACUGGGACUGAGAUACGGCCCAGACUCCUACGGGAGGCAGCAGUGGGGAAUAUUGCACAAUGGGCGCAAGCCUGAUGCAGCGACGCCGCGUGAGGGAUGACGGCCUUCGGGUUGUAAACCUCUUUCAGCUAUGACGAAGCGCAAGUGACGGUAGUAGCAGAAGAAGGACCGGCCAACUACGUGCCAGCCGCCGCUGUAA